UAGACUACACUUUUAGGGAUCAUUUCUAUAGUAUGUUACUAGAUCAUUGUGGCUGAAAGUAUAGCACGUAGCAUGU
ensembl:snoRNA U3 Small nucleolar RNA U3